GGUUCUAUAGUGUAGCGGUUAGCACUUCGGAUUCUGAAAUAAAAAAAAAGAAACAUUUCCGGCAACCCCGGUUCGAUUCCGGGUAGGACCU